AGAGUUUGAUCAUGGCUCAGAACGAACGCUGGCGGCGUGGAUUAGGCAUGCAAGUCGAACGAGGAUAUAUCCUUCGGGAUAUAAGCCGAGUGGCACAAGGGUGAGCAAUGCAUAGAUUACCUACCUUUAGGAUAAGGACAACUUUGUGAAAACGGAGCUAAUACUUAAUAAUACAAAAGAAAAUAAUUUUCUUUUGUCAAAGGGAGGGUAGCAAUACCUUUCGCCUAGAGAGGGGUUUAUGUCCUAUCAGCUUGUUGGUGGGGUAAUAGCCUACCAAGGCAAAGACGGGUAGCCGGUUUAAGAGGAUGGUCGGCCACACUGGGACUGAGACACUGCCCAGACUUCUACGGAAGGCUGCAGUCGAGAAUCUUUCGCAAUGCCCGAAAGGGUGACGAAGCGACGCCGCGUGGGUGAAGAAGGCCUUCGGGUUGUAAAACCCUGUCAGGAGUUAUGAAAUGUAAGUACGCUAAUAUCGUGCUUAUUUGACAAAGGCUCCAAAGGAAGCCACGGCUAACUCUGUGCCAGCAGCCGCGGUAAUACAGAGGUGGCGAGCGUUGUUCGGAAUUAUUGGGCGUAAAGAGCACGUAGGUGGGUUUGCAAGUCAGAUGUGAAAGCCUUCUGUUCAACGGGAGAAUUGCAUCUGAAACUGCUAAUCUUGAGUAUAGGAGGGGAGAAUGGAACUUCUGGUGGAGCGGUGAAAUGCGUAGAUAUCAGAAGGAACGCCGGCGGCGAAAGCGAUUCUCUGGCCUAUUACUGACACUCAGUGUGCGAAAGCUAGGGGAGCAAACGGGAUUAGAUACCCCGGUAGUCCUAGCCGUAAACGAUGGGCACUAAGUAGAGGGAAUUACCUAUGUUCUCUCUGCCGUAGCUAACGCAUUAAGUGCCCCGCCUGGGGAGUACGGCCGCAAGGCUAAAACUCAAAAGAAUUGACGGGGGCUCGCACAAGCGGUGGAGCAUGUGGCUUAAUUCGAUGCAACGCGAAAAACCUUACCGGGGCUUGACAUGAUAGAAGUAGGAACCUGAAAGGGGGACGAACGGUAUCCAGUCCGUAGCUAUUACAGGUGUUGCAUGGCUGUCGUCAGCUCGUGUCGUGAGACGUUGGGUUAAGUCCCCUAACGAGCGAAACCCUUGUUUUUAGUUACCAGCGGGUUAUGCCGGGUACUCUAGAAAGACUGCCGUCGUCAAGACGGAGGAAGGUGGGGAUGACGUCAAGUCAUCAUGGCCCUUAUGCCCCGGGCUGCACACGUGCUACAAUGGUCGGUACAAACGGAAGCGAAGCCGAGAGGUGUAGCGAAUCCUAAAAAGCCGAUCUCAGUUCGGAUUGGAGGCUGAAAUUCGCCUCCAUGAAGUUGGAAUCGCUAGUAAUCGCGGAUCAGCAAUGUCGCGGUGAAUAUGUUCCCGAGCCUUGUACACACCGCCCGUCAAGCCACCCAAGCAGGAUGCACCCGAAAACAUUAUAUCUAACCAGGGCAACUUGGAGGAAAAUGUUGAAGGAGUGUUUUGUGAGGAGGACUAAGUCGUAACAAGGUAA
rnacentral:rRNA from 1 species